CAAAGGAGCAAUCCGCUGAGAGAUGGGCUCGCGUCCAAUUAGGUAGAUGGCGGGGUAGAGGCCCACCAUGCCGACGAUUGGUAGCCGGACUGAGAGGUUGAACGGCCACAUUGGGACUGAGACACGGCCCAGACUCCUACGGGAGGCAGCAGUGGGGAAUAUUGGGCAAUGGGGGAAACCCUGACCCAGCGACGCCGCGUGAGGGAAGAAGGUUUUCGGAUUGUAAACCUCUGUCCUUGGUGACGAUAAUGACGGUAGCCAAGGAGGAAGCCACGGCUAACUACGUGCCAGCAGCCGCGGUAAUACGUAGGUGGCGAGCGUUGUCCGGAAUUACUGGGUGUAAAGGGAGCGUAGGCGGGAGAGCAAGUCGACUGUGAAAUCUAUGGGCUUAACCCAUAGCUGCGAUCGAAACUGUUCAUCUUGAGUGAAGUAGAGGCAGGCGGAAUUCCUAGUGUAGCGGUGAAAUGCGUAAAUAUUAGGAGGAACACCAGUGGCGAAGGCGGCCUGCUGGGCUUUAACUGACGCUGAGGCUCGAAAGCGUGGGUAGCAAACAGGAUUAGAUACCCUGGUAGUCCACGCUGUAAAC
rnacentral:rRNA from 1 species